rnacentral:pre_miRNA from 1 species
CAGCUACUCCCUCUGUCCCAAAUUUCUUGUCUUAGAUUUGUCUAGAUACGGAUGUAUCUAAUACUAAAAUGUGAUUUGAUACAUCCGUAUCUAGACAAAUCUAAGACAAGAAUUUUGGGACGGAGGAAGUACUUU